GUCACCCAGUGGGCCACCAAGGGCCCUGACGUGAACUUUCUGUAUGUGUUUGUUCAGAUAAGACUUCGAUCUGAAAAAGCUGCCACAUUCAGGGCAAGGGUACUUCUUCUCUGCCUCCGUCUCCAUUUUGUUUUUGCUGACUGCCAUGUCACAUGAGAAGGACCCAUUGGUGCUCUGUUUCUCAGGAGUCUUGAGGUCACUGGUGUCAGAGAGAUCUCCAUAUGAAUCGGAACUUUCAAUCGGGUCCGAAUGUGAACAUUUCUGUCCUUCUUUGAUGCCAUAUGUUCUGACGCAGUGGAAUGCUGCUCCCCCAUUCGGGAUGGAUUCCUGGUGCCUGGAGACCUGGGGAAGGGGAACACCG
rnacentral:lncRNA from 1 species